AAGAUCAUUCUCGCUGACCUGUUGACCACGUUAGUCGCAUCCGACGUCAUGGCUCGUUUUGUUUUUCUUUUAUGUUUUAUUAUUUAUAUGGGGACUGCCACAACAUCUGAUAGCAAUGACAAACAAUGCACCAAGUCCCACGAAAGAUGGACGGACUGCUACAUCGGUGAAUGUGCGCCUAUCAAAUGUGGCGACCUGGGCAAACCACUGGCAUGUGCCUCUAUAGCACCGCCUUGCGCCGGUGGCUGUAUUUGCGAACAAGACUUUGUGAGGAACGAGAAUGACGAUUGUAUAGAUGCCAAGACAUGCCCAAACUGUGGCGGAGAUCCUCAUGCACAAAGUGGCUGUGCCAAUCCUUGUAGACCAACUUGUGCAAACCCAGCUGGCAAACCUGCAACGGAGUGUACCACAUUUUGUCAAUUUAAUGGCUGUGACUGCAAGGAGAGCUACAUUUUGAACACAGAU